GAUGAACGCUGGCGGCGUGCUUAACACAUGCAAGUCGAACGGAAAGGCUCCUGCUUGCAGGGGUACUCGAGUGGCGAACGGGUGAGUAACACGUGGGUGAUCUGCCCUGCACUUCGGGAUAAGCCUGGGAAACUGGGUCUAAUACCGGAUAGGACCACAUUUUGGAUGGUGUGGUGGAAAGUUUUUCGGUGUGGGAUGAGCUCGCGGCCUAUCAGCUUGUUGGUGGGGUAAUGGCCUACCAAGGCGUCGACGGGUAGCCGGCCUGAGAGGGUGUACGGCCACACUGGGACUGAGAUGAGGCAGAGACUGCUAAGGGAGGCAGAAGUGGGGAAUAUUGCACAAGGGGCGCAAGGCGGAUGCAGAGACGCCGCGUGGGGGAUGACGGCCUUAGGGGUGUAAACUCAUUGCGCUAGGGACGAAGCGCAAGUGAAGGUACCUGGAGAAGAAGCACCGGCUAACUACGUG
rnacentral:rRNA from 1 species